rnacentral:rRNA from 1 species
CUACAAAGGAAUUGGACGGGGCCCGCACAGCGGUGGAGCAUGUGGUUUAUUCGAAGCAACGCGAAGAACCUUACCAGGUCUUGACAUCCCGAUGCUUAUUUCUAGAGAUAGAAAGUUACUUCGGUACAUCGGUGACAGGUGGUGCAUGGUUGUCGUCAGCUCGUGUCGUGAGAUGUUGGGUUAAGUCCCGCAACGAGCGCAACCCCUAUUGUUAGUUGCCAUCAUUCAGUUGGGCACUCUAGCGAGACUGCCGGUAAUAAACCGGAGGAAGGUGGGGAUGACGUCAAGUCCUCAUGGCCUUUAUGACCAGGGCUACACACGUACUACAAUGGCCGGUACAAAGGGCAGCGACACAGCGAUGUGAAGCCAAUCCCGAAAAGCCGGUCUCAGUCCGGAUUGGAGUCUGCAACUCGACUCCAUGAAGUUGGAAUCGCUAGUAAUCGCGGAUCAGCACGCCGCGGUGAAUACGUUCCCGGGCCUU